rnacentral:rRNA from 1 species
GGGGAGCCGUAGCGAAAGCGAGUCUGAAUAGGGCGUCAGAGUCGCGUGUCCUAGACCCGAAGCGGAGUGAUCUAGCCAUGGGCAGGCUGAAGCGUGGGUAAGACUGCGUGGAGGGCCGAACCCACCAACGUUGAAAAGUUGGGGGAUGACCUGUGGUUAGGGGUGAAAGGCCAAUCAAACUCCGUGAUAGCUGGUUCUCCCCGAAAUGCAUUUAGGUGCAGCGUCGUGUGUUUCUUGCCGGAGGUAGAGCACUGGAUGGUCUAGGGGGCCUACAAGCUUACUGAAAUCAGCCAAACUCCGAAUGCCGGUAAGUGAGAGCGCGGCAGUGAGACUGCGGGGGAUAAGCUUCGUAGUCGAGAGGGAAACAGCCCAGAUCACCAGCUAAGGCCCCUAAGCGUGUGCUAAGUGGAAAAGGAUGUGGGGUCGCAUAGACAACCAGGAGGUUGGCUUAGAAGCAGCCAUCCUUGAAAGAGUGCGUAAUAGCUCACUGGUCAAGUGGUUCCGCGCCGACAAUGUAGCGGGGCUCAAGCACACCGCCGAAGCUGUGGCAUUCACGCGUGUACUUCGCAUGGCCUUUUGGGGUUGUGUGUAGGUGUGUGGAUGGGUAGGGGAGCGUCGUGCCGGGGGUGAAGCAGCCGAGUGAUCGAGUUGUGGACGCGGUGCGAGUGAGAAUGCAGGCAUGAGUAGCGAAAGAAGGGUGAGAAACCCUUCCGCCGGAUGACCAAGGGUUCCAGGGCCAGGUUAAUCCGCCCUGGGUGAGUCGGGGCCUAAGGCGAGGCCGAGAGGCGUAGUCGAUGGAUAACGGGUUGAUAUUCCCGUACCCGCGAAGGAGCGUCCCUGAUGAACCUCGUUGUGCUAACCAUCCGAUCUUGGUGUGGUCUUCGGACUGUGCUGGGGGAGCGUGGGAACCUGGCGGGUAGUAGUCAAGCGAUGGGGUGACGCAGGAAGGUAGCUGAGCCCGGCCGGUGGUUGUGCCGGGGUAAGCGUGUAGGCUGUGUCGUAGGUAAAUCCGCGGCGCGUGUGGCUGAGACGUGAUGCCGAGCCGAUUCAGGUGAAGUCAGUGAUCCUAUGCUGUCGAGAAAAGCCUCUAGCGAGUUCCGAGCGGCCCGUACCCUAAACCGACACAGGUGGUCAGGUAGAGAAUACCAAGGCGAUCGGGUGAACUGUGGUUAAGGAACUCGGCAAAUUGCCCCCGUAACUUUGGGAGAAGGGGGGCCGGAGACGUGAAGGCACGUGCUGCUGGAGCGUUGUAUGGCCGCAGAGAGCAGGGGGAAGCGACUGUUUACUAAAAACACAGGUCCAUGCGAAGAAGUAAUUCGAUGUAUAUGGACUGACGCCUGCCCGGUGCUGGAACGUUAAGGGGACCUGUUAGUCUUUCGGGGCGAAGCGGAGAACUUAAGCGCCAGUAAACGGCGGUGGUAACUAUAACCAUCCUAAGGUAGCGAAAUUCCUUGUCGGGUAAGUUCCGACCUGCACGAAUGGCGUAACGACUUCCCCACUGUCUCAACCACAGGCCCGGCGAAAUUGCAUUACGAGUAAAGAUGCUCGUUACGCGCGGCAGGACGGAAAGACCCCGGGACCUUUACUAUAGCUUGACAUUGGUAUCUGAAUUAGCUUGUGUAGGAUAGGUGGGAGCCUGUGAAGUGUGCACGCCAGUGCAUGUGGAGGCAAUCUUGAAAUACCACUCUGGUUGGUUUGGGUAUCUAACUUCGGACCGUUAUCCGGUUCAGGGACAGUGUCUGGUGGGUAGUUUAACUGGGGCGGUUGCCUCCUAAAGGGUAACGGAGGCGCCCAAAGGUUCCCUCAGCCUGGUUGGCAAUCAGGUGUUGAGUGUAAGUGCACAAGGGAGCUUGACUGUGAGACUGACGGGUCGAGCAGGGACGAAAGUCGGGACUAGUGAUCCGGCACUGGCAUGUGGAAGCGGUGUCGCUCAACGGAUAAAAGGUACCCCGGGGAUAACAGGCUGAUCUUCCCCAAGAGUCCAUAUCGACGGGAUGGUUUGGCACCUCGAUGUCGGCUCGUCGCAUCCUGGGGCUGUAGCAGGUCCCAAGGGUUGGGCUGUUCGCCCAUUAAAGCGGUACGCGAGCUGGGUUUAGAACGUCGUGAGACAGUUCGGUCCCUAUCCGCCGUGCGCGUAGGAUACUUGAGAAGGGCUGUCCCUAGUACGAGAGGACCGGGACGGACGAACCUCUGGUGUGCCAGUUGUCCCGCCAGGGGCACGGCUGGUUAGCUACGUUCGGAAGGGAUAACCGCUGAAAGCAUCUAAGCGGGAAGCCUGCUUCAAGAUGAGGUAUCCCACCCACUUUGU